CCUCUGUCCCGCCCAGGCAGCCGGACCCGCGUUGAGGAGCCGGCUCGUCGCUCCAGGGAAGGCCGGAGGGGACCCCAAGCCGCUGGGAGCAGCGCCCCCUCCCGGCUCGGCCACGGACGGGGCUUCCCUCCAAUAGAAUGAGCUCAGGCCAGGCCCGGGGAGGGCAGUCCCGACACUGAUCAGCACCGGACAGCUCCUGCCCAGUGAACGUUUCUCCCAACAUUCUAAGAGGGAAGAAAUGCUGUGUGAUAGAGGCCAGAGGAAAGGCGGGGCACAGGAGGAAGGAAACAAGCACUAAUUAAGCGCCUACUGUGUGCCAGACUGUGCUAAGCACUUACAAAUAAGAUCUCAUCUGAUCCCCCUCACAGUAGGGACUACUGGGACUGUUGUCCCCCCCUCCCCCCAUAUUACAUUUUAGGAAACGGGCAAAUAAAGAUAAAGGAAGACUUGAGGGGAUGAAAAAGGACAGGUCAGGAGAAGGGGGGUGAAGAGGAAGGGAAGGAGCUAAGCGCGUGUCCAUCAGGGCAGUGGCUGGACAGAGAAAUGGGGAGGGACGGGUCUAAUCAAAGCUGUUUGCCCCGUGGAAAGAAAUUAGUUCAGAGAACUGAGGAGAAAAUGGGCAGGACAAAGGGAGCAGAAACAAGACAACAAUUUGUCGAUUUUAUAAAGAAAAAUAACAGUGAAAGAUCCAAGAAUUCUGCCCAGGGCGGUGGCUAAGCAGGACUCCAGAGCAGGUCAGACGGAGCUCUCCACGUGCUGGUGCACAGGACACCGGGUGCUGAAAAGGACAGACAUUGUGCGCUCUGGGCCUCGGCUUUGUCCCACUUGACUUCCUUGUUACAAAGUUGUUGUUUUUCCUUUCUCUCAGUUUCCUCUCUGGGAGAGGGGUUUGGAAAGGGGAGGGAGUGAGGGAAACAUCUUUAUGGCAAUAAGUGAUUCCAAGGUUUAAAAGGUGGGGAGGGGGGAACAGGAGAUCAGAAGGAAGUGUGGGCAAGCAGGUCAGCUUUGAAAACAAUGUGCAAAAUGUACCGCAUGCUUUACUUUUUAAAAAAGUAAACAAUAAAAGAGAUUCACGGAUUCAUAAAGAA